UACGUAGGGUCCAAGCGUUAUCCGGAAUCACUGGGCGUAAAGCGUGCGUAGGUGGCUUGUUAAGUGCAAUGCGAAAUCCUGUGGCUCAACCAUAUGGACUGUAUUGCAUACUGGCUAUCUAGAGGACAUGAGAGGCAAGUGGAAUUACCGGUGUAGCAGUGAAAUGCGUAGAGAUCGGUAGGAACACCAAUGGCGAAGGCAGCUUGCUGGCAUGUAUCUGACGCUAAGGCACGAAAGCGUGGGGAGCGAACAGG
rnacentral:rRNA from 1 species